GUUUUUCUCACAAAAAAAAACCUACGCUCUGAUAUCGACUUCUUCCACCUUCACUCUUUGUACCGAUUUAGAGUAUAAGCUCCCAUGGUUGUAGAACCUGCACUGAUUUCAAGGCCGAAUUUUCACUCUGCAUUUUGAUUUGAAGUUCUAACUAUUUUGAUUUUCGGUUGGAUGAUCAUUAUACGUAGAUUUGGUACUUCUUAUCCAAUAGUUGGCAGAUCAUUAAUGAGUUAAAAGCUAUAGAAAUAGCAAAUUUAUAAGGUCUAAUAAUCUUCCUAGCAAUAACAAAGUUUAGGUUUGGGAUCCAAUUCUAGCCACCACGACCUUCAAAACUACUCACCACGGUUGUGUAUGAUAGUGUUCGUGUUCUUGAAGAUGGUAUUGUGUAUGAUAGUGUUCGGAGCUUCCCAAAUAGGUGAAGAAUACGAUAAAGACACUCAUAGUAUAUGAGACAACAAACCACAAUGUAUGUUGGAUUAGGUGUCAAAGUGUAACGUCCCAAAAAUAAAAGCCAAAAAUUUUAUUUUUAAAAACGUCAAUAUAAAACCAACAGUGUAAUAAAACAUCUGUAAUAUCAUGUCAUGUCAAAACCAAAGUAGAAAUAAUCAAACGUGUUAUCAUAAAAUAAUAUGAAAGUGUAAUCCCAAAGAUCUCAUGUGCGGAAAACCAUAGUGUGAUGCGCUGCGAUCAAGCCGGCUCCUUUCCUUUAAACACGAAGUACCUAAUACUAAAACUGAAAACCGUAAGCACGAAGCUUAGUGAGUUCCCCCAUCAUACCACAUACCACACAAUCAUAUAACAUACAUAUACUGUCAAGCAUAUCCGGGUGCCCGACCUACCCCUUCGGU